rnacentral:rRNA from 1 species
GUUGAACGCUGGCGGCGUGCCUAACACAUGCAAGUCGAGCGAACGGACGAGACUUUUUCUUUUCUGAUGUUACCGGCGGACGGGUAAUUACUACGAGUAUAACCUACCUAUAAGAAUGACAUCACUUCAGGAAAGCGGAUCUCACACCCGUCAAUAUUUUGAACGGCAUGGUUCAACAGAGAAAGACGUUCUUGCUGUGACUAAUUGAUGUUUCCGGGCUGCAUUAGCUAGUUGGUAAGGUAACGGCCUACCAAGGCAACGAUGCGUAGCCGACCUGAGAGGGUGAUCAGCCACACUGGAACUGAGACACGGUCCAGACUCCUACGGGAGGCAGCAGUAGGGAAUAUUCCACAAUGGGCGAAAGCCUGACGGAGCAACGCCGCGUGUGUGAAGAAGGUCUUCGGAUUGUAAAGCUCUGUUAGUAGGGAGGAACAUAUGUGUGAGUAACCCUGCCCAUCUUGACGGUACCAACUCAGAAAGCCACGGCUAACUACGUG